GCGGUCGUCAUAUAGUGGUUAUUAUACUUCGUUGUGGCCGAAGAAACGGAUGUUCGAUUCCUCCCGACCGCA